CAAAAGUUGUUGUUCUUUGSUCCGAGAGAAUUUCUUUGCACGGGAUUUAAAUUAAGGCCAAAUAUAAUGGACAUUAUUAUAACAAGCUAACGGAGUUUGACCACAUAUAGAAAUGAAGAUCCACUCUACUGAACAACCUAGUGAAUAUACCACUUUAGUAAUAUAUGGUGUUAUUGUACUUAUUGCAGUUCAUGUUCUUGCACUUGGUUACUGGUUGUUCACAAUCAUUAGGCCGCCAGACGAAGCUUCCUUCAAAAAGACCACGUCAAAGCUGGAGAAAUUUCAUUGAGUUAAUCACAGAAAUUUUUAAAAUAUAUUCGAACUCCAAAUCAGAUGGUUUACAAGAUUACUUGCUUUGUUAUGCAAUACUAGCUAGCAAGGCAAAUAAACCAAUUAUAGUAAAUCCUUAGCAAAUUUGAACCUUUUGAAUUUCAUAUCACAUUUUAUAUUUCAAAAGAACCAAAAUUGUCAUUUUAGUAGCCUGGCUGUUACAUUUAGAAAAAAAUGUAAAUAUGACAACAUCAAAUUGCAUCCAAGUAAGGACAUACCCCAAGGGCUAGAUUUUACAUCAUAUGGUGUCUAGAUGCCUGUAUUUGGAUAGGGAUCUUUUAAACAGGAAUUAUUUAUAUAAUCAUAUUAUAUUUCUAUUGUGAAUUUGAAUGGUAUUGUUACUGGAACUAUAAUUGUAAGAUUCUGUCAUUGAGAUUUUGCAUAUGUUUUAUAGAAAAAUAAAUAUUUAGUAUGAU